rnacentral:rRNA from 1 species
AGAGUUUGAUCCUGGCUCAGAGCGAACGCUGGCGGCAGGCUUAACACAUGCAAGUCGAGCGGGCGUAGCAAUACGUCAGCGGCAGACGGGUGAGUAACGCGUGGGAACAUACCUUUUGGUUCGGAACAACACAGGGAAACUUGUGCUAAUACCGGAUAAGCCCUUACGGGGAAAGAUUUAUCGCCGAAAGAUUGGCCCGCGUCUGAUUAGCUAGUUGGUGAGGUAACGGCUCACCAAGGCGACGAUCAGUAGCUGGUCUGAGAGGAUGAUCAGCCACAUUGGGACUGAGACACGGCCCAAACUCCUACGGGAGGCAGCAGUGGGGAAUAUUGGACAAUGGGCGCAAGCCUGAUCCAGCCAUGCCGCGUGAGUGAUGAAGGCCCUAGGGUUGUAAAGCUCUUUUGUGCGGGAAGAUAAUGACGGUACCGCAAGAAUAAGCCCCGGCUAACUUCGUGCCAGCAGCCGCGGUAAUACGAAGGGGGCUAGCGUUGCUCGGAAUCACUGGGCGUAAAGGGUGCGUAGGCGGGUCUUUAAGUCAGGGGUGAAAUCCUGGAGCUCAACUCCAGAACUGCCUUUGAUACUGAGGAUCUUGAGUUCGGGAGAGGUGAGUGGAACUGCGAGUGUAGAGGUGAAAUUCGUAGAUAUUCGCAAGAACACCAGUGGCGAAGGCGGCUCACUGGCCCGAUACUGACGCUGAGGCACGAAAGCGUGGGGAGCAAACAGGAUUAGAUACCCUGGUAGUCCACGCCGUAAACGGUGAAUGCCAGCCGUUAGUGGGUUUACUCACUAGUGGCGCAGCUAACGCUUUAAGCAUUCCGCCUGGGGAGUACGGUCGCAAGAUUAAAACUCAAAGGAAUUGACGG